GUGUGUGUGUGUGUGUGUGUGUGUGUGUGUGUGUGUGUGUGUGUGUGUGUGUGUGAAUGUAAACGGUUUAAAUGUAAAAUGUUUUGCGUUUAAACACCAGCUGUGUUCCAGAUUUCUGUCUCAGCCAUUAAAAGCUUAUUAUUAAUGUGCAAA